GUCAAAAGUUUCCUAUUGACAAGGUUAAACCAGACUUAAUCAACAUAUAAGGGAUAUAACAAUAUGAAAUUAAGUACAUUAUUGCUACCUGUU
rfam:Yersinia pestis CO92 complete genome